CCUACGGGUGGCUGCAGUGGGGAAUAUUGCACAAUGGGCGCAAGCCUGAUGCAGCCAUGCCGCGUGUGUGAAGAAGGCCUUCGGGUUGUAAAGCACUUUCAGCGGGGAGGAAGGCGGUGAGGUUAAUAACCUCAUCGAUUGACGUUACCCGCAGAAGAAGCACCGGCUAACUCCGUGCCAGCAGCCGCGGUAAUACGGAGGGUGCAAGCGUUAAUCGGAAUUACUGGGCGUAAAGCGCACGCAGGCGGUCUGUCAAGUCGGAUGUGAAAUCCCCGGGCUCAACCUGGGAACUGCAUUCGAAACUGGCAGGCUAGAGUCUUGUAGAGGGGGGUAGAAUUCCAGGUGUAGCGGUGAAAUGCGUAGAGAUCUGGAGGAAUACCGGUGGCGAAGGCGGCCCCUGGACAAAGACUGACGCUCAGGUGCGAAAGCGUGGGGAGCAAACAGGAUUAGUACCCCAGUAGUC
rnacentral:rRNA from 1 species